rnacentral:rRNA from 2 species
GUGGAUUUUUAGCCCUGGUGGGUAGCUUCCCGGAAACGAAAGUCUUCCGGUUCCGGGGGAAGUAUGGUUGCAAAGCUGAAACUUAAAGGAAUUGACGGAAGGGCACCACCAGGAGUGGAGCCUGCGGCUUAAUUUGACUCAACACGGGGAAACUCACCCGGCCCGGACACCGUAAGGAUUGACAGAUUGAUAGCUCUUUCAUGAUUCGGUGGUUGGUGGUGCAUGGCCGUUCUUAGUUCGUGGAUCGAUUUGUCUGGUUUAUUCCGAUAACGAGCGAGACUCUAGCCUACUAAAUAGUAACGAGAUUAUCAAUGUCUCAGUUGCUUCUUAGAGGGAUUUUCGGUGUUUAGCCGCACGAGAUUGAGCAAUAACAGGUCUGUGAUGCCCUUAGAUGUCCGGGGCUGCACGCGCGCUACACUGGCGAAAUCAGCGUGCUGUAUCCAUUCUCGAAAGGGAUUGGUAAACCCAUGAAAAUUUGCCGUGCUUGGGAUCGGAAAUUGCAAUUAUUUUCCGUGAACGAGGAAUUCCAAGUAAGUGCGAGUCAUCA